rnacentral:rRNA from 1 species
CCUACGGGAGGCAGCAGUGGGGAAUAUUGGACAAUGGGCGAAAGCCUGAUCCAGCCAUGCCGCGUGUGUGAAGAAGGCCUUCGGGUUGUAAAGCACUUUCAGUGGGGAAGAAAGCCUUGGGGCUAAUACCCUCGAGGAAGGACAUCACCCACAGAAGAAGCACCGGCUAACUCCGUGCCAGCAGCCGCGGUAAUACGGUGGGUGCGAGCGUUAAUCGGAAUUACUGGGCGUAAAGCGCGCGUAGGCGGUCUGAUAAGCCGGUUGUGAAAGCCCCGGGCUCAACCUGGGAACGGCAUCCGGAACUGUCAGGCUAGAGUGCAGGAGAGGAAGGUAGAAUUCCCGGUGUAGCGGUGAAAUGCGUAGAGAUCGGGAGGAAUACCAGUGGCGAAGGCGGCCUUCUGGACUGACACUGACGCUGAGGUGCGAAAGCGUGGGUAGCAAACAGGAUUAGAUACCCCAGUAGUC